rnacentral:rRNA from 1 species
ACGAACGCUGGCGGCAUGCUUAACACAUGCAAGUCGAACGAGAAAACCUUCGGGUGAGUAUAGUGGCGCACGGGUGAGUAACACGUAGAUAACCUACCCUUCAGCCUAGAAUAACCUUUCGAAAGGGAGGCUAAUACUAGAUAACUUCUUUGGACAAGUGUCUGAGGAAUAAAAGCUGAGGCACUGAGGGAUGGGUCUGCGUCCCAUUAGCUAGUUGGUAGGGUAAUGGCCUACCAAGGCAACGAUGGGUAGCGGGUCUCAGAGGAUGAUCCGCCACACUGGCACUGAGAUACGGGCCAGACUCCUACGGGAGGCAGCAGUGGGGAAUCUUGCGCAAUGGGCGAAAGCCUGACGCAGCGAUGCCGCGUGAGCGAAGAAGGCCUUCGGGUCGUAAAGCUCUUUUCUCAGGGACGAUAAUGACGGUACCCGAGGAAUAAGCACCGGCUAACUACGU